UACGGAGGGUGCGAGCGUUGUCCGGAAUUAUUGGGCGUAAAGAGCUCGUAGGCGGUUUGUCGCGUCGAAUGUGAAAACCCGGGGCUCAACCCCGGGCCUGCAUUCGAUACGGGCAGACUAGAGUUCGGUAGGGGAGUCUGGAAUUCCUGGUGUAGCGGUGAAAUGCGCAGAUAUCAGGAGGAACACCGGUGGCGAAGGCGGAUCUCUGGGCCAUUACUGACGCUGAGGAGCGAAAGCGUGGGGAGCGAACAGG
rnacentral:rRNA from 1 species